UACGUAGGGUGCAAGCGUUGUCCGGAAUUAUUGGGCGUAAAGAGCUCGUAGGCGGUCUGUCGCGUCGGCUGUGAAAUCCCGAGGCUCAACCUCGGGUCUGCAGUCGAUACGGGCAAACUGGAGUGUUGCAGGGGAGACUGGAAUUCCUGGUGUAGCGGUGAAAUGCGCAGAUAUCAGGAGGAACACCGGUGGCGAAGGCGGGGUCUCUGGGGCAACAACUGACGCUGAGGAGCGAAAGCGUGGGGGAGCGAACAGG
rnacentral:rRNA from 1 species